rnacentral:rRNA from 1 species
UAGGGAAUCUUCGGCAAUGGACGAAAGUCUGACCGAGCAACGCCGCGUGAGUGAAGAAGGUUUUCGGAUCGUAAAACUCUGUUGUUAGAGAAGAACAAGGACGUUAGUAACUGAACGUCCCCUGACGGUAUCUAACCAGAAAGCCACGGCUAACUACGUGCCAGCAGCCGCGGUAAUACGUAGGUGGCAAGCGUUGUCCGGAUUUAUUGGGCGUAAAGCGAGCGCAGGCGGUUUCUUAAGUCUGAUGUGAAAGCCCCCGGCUCAACCGGGGAGGGUCAUUGGAAACUGGGAGACUGGAGUGCAGAGGAGGAGAGUGGAAUUCCAUGUGUAGCGGUGAAAUGCGUAGAUAUAUGGAGGAACACCAGUGGCGAAGGCGGCUCUCUGGUCUGUAACUGACGCUGAGGCUCGAAAGCGUGGGGAGCAAACAGG